rnacentral:rRNA from 1 species
AUGGCGACGGACGCCUCCCCCCCUCCGCCGCGCAAGAGCCCGGGGCCUCAGCCGGCGGCGGGCCCCCCUGAAGGCGCCUCGCCGCUGCCGGCGGGGUACAUCUUCAUGUGCAGCGGCGAGACCAGGCCCGAGUGCUUCAGGUACAGGGUGCUGGGCCUGCCGCGGGGGAGGCUGGACGCCGUCUCCCGGAUCAGGCGCGGCGCCGCGCUCUUCCUCUACGACUUCCACGCCAAGCACCUCUACGGGCCCUACCGCGCCGACUCCGACGGCGGCCUCGCCCUCGAGCCCGCCGCCUUCCAGGGCCGCUACCCGGCCCAGGUCAAAUUUGUGGUUGAUGGUGAUUUCAUGCCUAUCCCAGAGAGUAGCAUAAGAAGUGCCAUAAGUGAGAAUUAUUCCCGUGGGAAAUUUUGGCCUGAACUUACCUUUACGCAAGUUGAGAAAUUGAGAGCAUUGUUCCGUCCAGUUACUUCACUGCCAGUGCCAGAGGCACCACCCCUGCAUUAUGUUGACAACAGGCAUCCUGCUCAAUCUGCUGCUUUUCUGCCUCCUUCAGCUUCAUACCCAAUACAGCCAACUUCUUAUGUGUAUCACCCAAGCACUUAUGCUCCUACUCCAGCUGCUCAUCUGGUGCCAAAUCGACCAUACCCACGCCCAGAUUCUCACCUUCCUGUGACUGCUCAAUACACCACACCUGCUUACUAUGCGACCCCAACCGCGUAUCCGUAUCAAGCAGGUUAUCAAGCAUAUGGUCCACCUCCUGCCACCUACCACUACGCCCAAGCGCCUCCUUUGCAAUAUCACUAUGUGCAAGCCCAACACCCUGUGCCAGAACAUGUUACAGACCCUGCCUAUUCCUCUGAUCCCUACUAUGUUGCUAAUCGGAAUGAUCCAUAUCGAUUUGAUGCUGUGAAAUCUCAUUACCAGGAAACAACUUCUGGAAGAGCUGCCUAUGGUGCACCACCACAUGAAGCAGCCGCGACGAACCUGCAGCUCGUCAGGCAUUAUGGGUACGCUCCAGGCAGCGAGGGCGCAGCCGGAGGAACCCCACAGCCCAGUGCUGAAGGAGCAGCGUCGGCGACCAAUGAUGACAACUGGCCGCCCGCCCCAGCGACCACACAGGCUGCGCCUUUGGUGAAUUGCGUCGCAGCUGCACCGGCUUACCUGUGA